GUAGUGGUGGUGGUGGUGGUGGUGGUGGAGAUGGUAGUGGUGGAGAUGGUAGUGGUGGUGGAGAUGGUGGUGGUGGUGGUGUUGGUGGGAGUGCUAUGAGAUACGACGCGGAAGAGAAAGGAGAUGGCCGUGGAGAGAAAGGACUACUUAAUGUGGAAGAGAAAGCUCGUCGAAUGAAGGACCGAAGGAAAGGGAGAAGGAGAGAAGGAGAUAGGCAGCAGGGUGUUGUGGGAGGAGCACGAGACGCGGAAAAAGAACGCACAUCGUGGAAGGAUAUACGCUAAUGCACGAGAAGGACAACGACGACGAGAA